UAGAGCGACGGACUGUUAAUCCGCAGGUCACUGGUUCGAACCCAGUUCGGGGAGCCA
rnacentral:tRNA from 1 species